rnacentral:rRNA from 1 species
GGAUUGCCCUAGUAACGGCGAGUGAAGCGGCAACAGCUCAAAUUUGAAAGCUAGCCUUCGGGUUCGCAUUGUAAUUUGUAGAGGAUGAUUUGGGGAAGCCGCCUGUCUAAGUUCCUUGGAACAGGACGUCAUAGAGGGUGAGAAUCCCGUAUGUGACAGGAAAUGGCACCCUAUGUAAAUCUCCUUCGACGAGUCGAGUUGUUUGGGAAUGCAGCUCUAAAUGGGAGGUAAAUUUCUUCUAAAGCUAAAUAUUGGCGAGAGACCGAUAGCGCACAAGUAGAGUGAUCGAAAGAUGAAAAGCACUUUGGAAAGAGAGUUAAAAAGCACGUGAAAUUGUUGAAAGGGAAGCGCUUGCAAUCAGACUUGUUUAAACUGUUCGGCCGGUCUUCUGACCGGUUUACUCAGUUUGGACAGGCCAGCAUCAGUUUCGGCGGCCGGAUAAAGGCUCUGGGAAUGUGGCCUCCACUUCGGUGGAGGUGUUAUAGCCCAGGGUGUAAUACGGCCAGCCGGGACUGAGGUCCGCGCUUCGGCUAGGAUGCUG